rnacentral:lncRNA from 1 species
GCUGCCUGGCGGGUCUUCACCACAGCUGCUACUUCUUGAGUGCCAACCAGGUGCCUGGCCUGUGCCGAACAUUUUUACAUGCAGUGUCUGGCCGAUGCUCGCACUACUCAGCCAGACAGGUACAAGGACCCUCCCAUUCCAGAGACCAGAGACGUGACACCCCGGCUCUCCCAGGCCCACAGCCAGCAAGUGCCCUCUGACCCAGAGCCUGCCCUGCAAUCAGCACGCUGCACCGACCACGGUCCCCACCCACAGCACUUCACCACCGUGGGAACCUCUGCCCGUCCCAGCCCAGACCCCUGUCACCAGGCAGUGGGAGAGAGCACCUGGACUCCUCCCGGGCUGUGUCCCAGCCUCAGCUCUGCAGGCCAGCACUCAACCAGGUGCCAGGGGUGCCAGGCGGAUUUCACAGAACCCCGACUCCUCUGGUCACAGACGGGGGCUGUCCUGACAGCACUGGGGAAUCAGGGCAUGACGCAGCGGGGAUCCCAUGGCUGUCAGUCACCCCUGGCUCCUCCAGACCCCCACUGCUGUGACCAAGGAAAUCUCACCAGCUGUGUCCAAGAUGACCC